rnacentral:rRNA from 1 species
UGAAAUCUGGCUCUCGGGCCCGAGUUGUAAUUUGUAGAGGAUGCUUUUGAUGCGGUGCCUUCCGAGUUCCCUGGAACGGGACGCCAUAGAGGGUGAGAGCCCCGUCUGGUUGGAUGCCAAAUCUCUGUAAAGCUCCUUCGACGAGUCGAGUAGUUUGGGAAUGCUGCUCUAAAUGGGAGGUAUAUGUCUUCUAAAGCUAAAUACCGGCCAGAGACCGAUAGCGCACAAGUAGAGUGAUCGAAAGAUGAAAAGCACUUUGAAAAGAGAGUUAAAAAGUACGUGAAAUUGUUGAAAGGGAAGCGUUUAUGACCAGACUUGGGCUUGGUUAAUCAUCUGGGGUUCUCCCCAGUGCACUUUUCCAGUCCAGGCCAGCAUCAGUUUUCCCCGGGGGACAAAGGCUUCGGGAAUGUGGCUCUCUUCGGGGAGUGUUAUAGCCCGUUGCGUAAUACCCUGGGGGGGACUGAGGUUCGCGCUUCUGCAAGGAU